rnacentral:lncRNA from 1 species
AAAGACAAGGAUAAAGAAAACAAUAUGCCGGAACUUCCACUCAAACUCGGGUAAGGAACCGACUGCUUGGAACCCUUCCCUGAUUGCCUACCUAGCACUGCUCUCGAGUACUCGCCUUCCACUGCUGCUAUACUUUCAAAGAAGCUGCCACAUCUGCUUGGAGGACAGAUAAGGCAAGUGAAAAUGAUACCUUGCAGCAUGUGGAGACAAGGUGCAGA